CCUACGGGUGGCAGCAGUGGGGAAUAUUGCACAAUGGGGGCAACCCUGAUGCAGCCACGCCGCGUGAGUGAAGAAGUAUUUCGGUAUGUAAAGCUCUUUCAGUAGGGAAGAAAAUGUCGGUACCUGAUUACGAGGUCCUGGCUAAAUACGGGCCAGCAGCCGCGGUAAUACGUCGGGGGCGCGCGUAAUCCGGAUUUACUGGGUGUUAAGGGAGCGUAGACGGUGAUGCAAGUCAGAAGUGAAAGCCCGGGGCUCAACCCCGGGAGUGCAGUUGAAACUGUGUGACUGGAGUGCAGGAGAGGUAAGCGGAAUGCCUGGUGUAGCGGUGAAAUGCGUAGAUAUCAGGAGGAACACCAGUGGCGAAGGCGGCCUACUGGACUGUAACUGACGUUGAGGCUCGAAAGCGUGGGGAGCAAACAGGAUUAGAUACCCUUGUAGUC
rnacentral:rRNA from 1 species